UACGGGGGGGGGCAAGCGUUGUUCGGAAUUACUGGGCGUAAAGGGCUCGUAGGUGGCCAACUAAGUCAGACGUGAAAUCCCUCGGCUUAACCGGGGGAACUGCGUCUAAUACUGGAUGGCUUGAGUUUGGGAGAGGGACGCGGAAUUCCAGGUGUAGCGGUGAAAUGCGUAGAUAUCUGGAGGAACACCGGUGGCGAAGGCGGGUCUCUGGGCCGGAUACUGACGCUGAGGAGCGAAAGCGUGGGGAGCGAACAGG
rnacentral:rRNA from 1 species